ensembl:lncRNA
UCUAGCCCGCCUCUGCCCCGCCCGCCACUGCGGAGGGGGCUGCGGCUCCGCUCCUUCGGGCACCGUACCGCCUCCGCGCGUCAGCUCAGGCCGGCGGAGCCGUGCGAGAGUCCGCAGUGCAGCGAGCCGGCACCCCAGGCACUGCACGACCCCCACCCACAGCACAGGGAAGCCUCUGAACCCCACCCCUCUCCAUCCUUCUGGAGGAAGGUCUGUAAAAUCUCCCCCAGGACCUUGAGGGAAGAGUCUGAGGACCCCUGGGAAGUGAGAGGAGAUAUGCAUGUGUACAUUCAAAUAGAGCACUCAUAUACAUAGAGACAAAGAAACAAAGGUGGGAGAGGCCUGAUUCUAAAUGCAGUGAAGAGACUCCACACACCUAAGCUUCCAACUUGUAAAAACAAGAAGGUCUGAGGGAUUUUCUGUUCCUAAAAUGCAACAACAAAUCAAAGCUUUUACGUGAUUCAAGGGGGAAAGUUGAUAGUGAAAGCCCACAGUGUUAUCCAUGUGCUUCUGGCUUUCGAGUCAUAAAGGAAAUACAAGUAAAGCAGCAUGGGAUCUUCUUCAUGGCUAAGGAAAGCCUCUGAGGCUGCCCAUGUACGGAGCUGUAAAAGUGAAGCUUGGAUUUCACUGGAGCCUCCAAGAUGGCAGAGGGGCCAGAGCUGUGGGAUGUCUGCAAGGGAGAGCUGGAUGCAGGGAGCAAAACCUGCCCGGGAGAGCAUGUGUGGCAGUCAGCAAGCAAGCAUCUGACAAGCAGACCCAUCUGAGCUCUUUGACACCGGACAAGGGACUACAAGACUUGGAAUACACUUUGAUGGAUGUGUCCCCCUCCCGCUAGUACUGGUCUAGAUUAGGUUGGCUUCAAACUUGUGGAGAUCCACCUGCCCCUGCCUUCUGGGUGCUGGGAUUAAAGGAGUAAGACAUUGCGCCCCAAUUUCUUGUUACUGGUAAAGUCUCGUUUUUGACUGGACAAAGACAACGUACACCUCUUGGCAAUCUCUUCCCCGUAUUUUUCUUCGGCUUCCUCCUCUAAGGGAAAAGUUGAGAAUACUCUGCAGCCUCUUCAUGUUUCUCAAUUCAGUUUCUUCUGUUUAAUAUGUCCAAAUUUGUGUUGCAGGACACUUAGAGAAACAAGACUCUGAGUCCUGGUUGCUUUUGUCCUGGGCUUCUUUGUUUAAGGGCUCUCUGACAGCAUACUGGUGGACACAGUAUCUUCUUUUUUUUUUUUUUUUCCGGAGCUGGGGACCAAACCCAGGGCCUUGCGCUUGCUAGGCAAGUGCUCUACCUCUACCCCACAGUAUCUUCUUU